UCCCACUUGUAGCCAUCGACAGUUGGUGUCCUCCCCGAUUACAUCAGUGUUCCCCAGCAUUUUGUUGACAAAUAGAAAUUUAAAGAGGAUUAGAGGCAUCGGCAAUAAUGAUCAAUCAUACAUGAUAUUGGAUCUUUGAAUAAACAUAUCUGUCAUCAUCAGUUAUUGCUGAAUCUCUGACUGGUCCUAGAUGUCAAACCUUAAGCAUACACAAUCAUAAAUGUGUAUCUUUUUGGCAAUAAUGGUUGAAUAUCUGACUGAUCCUAGAUCAAAUCUUAAGCAUUCUACACAUACAUAUACAUACAUACAUACAUACAUACAUACAUACAUACAUACAUACAUACAUAUAUAAUAUAACAAUCAUAACAGUGUAGCAUUUGUGCAACUAUGUGAAUUUUGUGAAGACCUCAGAAGUCAGAUAAGUUCAUGGCUCAUCUGAGGGGUACAUCUCACUGUCCGUAUGGUGAACACCAAUUUCAGAAACUAUGAUACACAGGGUUAAGUUAUGCAGUGUAAAGUUUGUAUAGUAUCAGUUUCAAUGUGAUGAGAACAAUUCAAUGAAUAAACAGUCAGUAAAAUUUGCAGCAAGAUCAUCAACGAAGGCCUAGAAAAAUGUUAUCAUUUAAAGAGAUUGUGUCUUGCAUGCGAUUUUUUCCGCUGUUUGCUGAGACGGGGUCACAUGGCAUGGAAGGAACAGGGCAAGGAUGGAGGAUACAUGUCAUGUUCCUUACUUUCUUUCCUCCAUUUUUUCCCAUUAGUGCAGGCUGCACAGGAGAAAGGAGGCUUCAGGGUCUGGAGGAAACCAGCCUCCACACUUUCCCAUUAUAGAUAGGAAGAGUUAAGGUGUGACCAAAUCUUAAAAACCAAUACAGGACUCCAGUACAAUACACUUGUGGCAAUACAAUAGGUUAUAGGAUAUACC
rnacentral:lncRNA from 1 species